GGAGUACUACAAGAAAACUCAGGAGAAAAAAAAAAGAACAGAGUUCAAGUACCACUGACUGGCAGAAGGAGGUGUACGAGAAGAAGCGGGUGAACCACCAAGGCACAAAGAAGAAAGGGUGCGCAGCAACAAUGAAUUUGAAGUGGAUUGAGUUGUACCCAGAUUUCCAGUAUUCCAUUCCAGAUAUGCAUACUUUGACGGUUCCCUUGACAACUGGAAACGGCACAUUGUCCAGAGGGAUUCGAGAUCCGCAGUG
rnacentral:lncRNA from 1 species